UUUGACCGAUCCCAACCACAACGGUCGUUGCGGGUCGCGGUCUUGGCCGUAAGUCGCCAGGAUUGCUUGGGCCUC
rnacentral:antisense_RNA from 1 species